CCUACGGGUGGCAGCAGUGAGGAAUAUUGGUCAAUGGACGAGAGUCUGAACCAGCCAAGUAGCGUGAAGGAUGACUGCCCUAUGGGUUGUAAACUUCUUUUAUAUGGGAAUAAAACGUUCCACGUGUGGGAUUUUGUAUGUACCAUAUGAAUAAGGAUCGGCUAACUCAGUGCCAGCAGCCGCGGUAAUACGGAGGAUCCGAGCGUUAUCCGGAUUUAUUGGGUUUAAAGGGAGCGUAGGUGGAUUGUUAAGUCAGUUGUGAAAGUUUGGGGCUCAACCGUAAAAUUGCAGUUGAAACUGGCAGUCUUGAGUACAGUAGAGGUGGGCGGAAUUCGUGGUGUAGCGGUGAAAUGCGUAGAGAUCACGAAGAAUUCCGAUUGCGAAGGCAGUUCACUGGACUGAAACUGACACUGAGGCUCGAAAGUGUGGGUAUCAAACAGGAUUAGAUACCCGAGUAGUC
rnacentral:rRNA from 1 species